rnacentral:misc_RNA from 1 species
GGAAAAUAUACUUGAGUAGAGAAAAAGAUGGUUUUCUAUUGAGCAAUUAAUACAGGAGAGGAAGAUAAGUAAGACUAUACAGUGAUAAGCAAGACUAUACAGGAGGAAACAUUAUAAUAAUAAAACUCACUCACAAGAUUAAAAAAAAAAAAAAAUGUACAGCUGCAGAAUAACAUUUGAGAAGGGACAAAGAAUGUCAAGCCAUAUUCCUCAUCUUUACUUGGAUCAAAGGUAAGAUGUGCUUGAAAUUCUGCAUCUUUUGAUCAUACAAAAUGAAUGAAGAUGUUUGUGGACGUUGGGGAUCGAAAUCCACUGCCUACAAAUAGAUAAAUAAAUAAAUAAAAAGCAGAAUGACCAGCACAAGAAAUAAGUUCAAUCUCAGAAAUUAGGUAGGAAAACUAACAUUCCAACUCAAAUCCAUUUUUUAAAGUCUAGUAUCCAUCACCAAUCUCGACUGAGCAUUCUUCUGCAUGGGACGCGUGGAAUGUGCUACAGAUUAAGGGUUCACCCAUGACAAAGAAUUUAUAAAUCAAACAUACCUGAAGUAAUGGAGUUUGGUGAGGUAAUUCAUGCUGGUCAGAGUAAAAGUUUGAUUGCUGGUAUAGAUUAGGAUUGUCUUGAUUGCUUAUGACUGGAUUCUGCUGUUGGUACAUGCACUGAACCUCCUGAUUAGACUCAAAAUUAUACAAACCCUACAUAAUUUACAUGGAAGAUCACAUAAUUUUGAGUAACAAAACCUAGGAAAUAAAAGACAAUAGACAAAGCAAGCAUGACUUUCGUGAUCAACAACUGAGAAUCACCUUCAGCAAAGGAUUUGAUGUUGGGGCUUCUGUUGAAACACAUGCUUGUGGUUGUGCUUGUGGGGGACUUGAAACAAAAUUAACUGUAAAUGGGGUGCCACGGCGGGUUGUAGUGCACUCGGAUAUCCUUUUUUCUUAGGGUCUUUUUCUUUCAUAUAUUUCAGUAGGAAGCCAUCAGGGGCAGCACCCUCGUCUUUUAUUCCUGCUAGUCUGUUGUCCUCAUCCUAAUCCGCAGCUGCUCGCUCAUCCAAGAAUAUCUCCGCAUUUUCACUCUCAGAGCCAUUUGCAGCAAUGCUACUUGAGGUGAUGCCAUGAGCCGCCUCAGGUUUUAACGUCAAAAUCUUCUCCACUUCUUCAAUCACUUCAUUGAGUUGUCUUGAAGCGAACUGAAAUGCUUUCCCUAUUCAGUGGCUCUGGCUACAAUUUUAAGCAUUCUGUCGCACAAAGAUUUGUACCUGCUAGCUGCAACCAACUUGGGUUGUUCUUGUGCAAUGAACUCUUUGCUUUCUUGCAUACCUCCAAUCCUUGCAUCUUUUGUCCAUCUCUUCAUAUAUAUUGGGAGGGAACCACCUUUAUAUUCUUAUUAUCAAGUACUUUCAGGGCAUGGCCGCACAGAAAUCCUACAUUUUCAAAUUUCAUACAACUGCAAAUGACUGUAUCAUCUGAUGGAUUGAAUGUGACAGAAAAUUCUCUACUUCGCCCAAAUGUUUUCAAGCGAAAGGCCACUCUCACUGCACUGGCUAACAACAAAAUUUAAACACUUCUCAUAUUCUCUCUGAAAUAUUUCAAAUGCAUUUGGCGUGUAAAUAUCACUUGCAUGCUUUAGCAAAACUACAUUCCCCAUUAACCUUGGCAUGCAUCUAGUCAGCUCAUCAUUAGCUUGUAUUUCUUUGUGUUGCUGAUCUACCAUCCUCUCAAAAAUCUUGAAAAAAUGGAGUGCAUCUAGAUCAGAGUUUAAGUUACUUCUCAAGUUGUUAUGUAAAUCUUCAGCCACAUGAAAGCCUUUGGCAUUGAUAAAAAAAAUAUAUUCCUGCCAUAUACGACAGCCCAUUUAUCUCUUUCUCUAAACAUCCAUCUUAGCCACUCAUUUUGCUGAAGACUAUAUUUAUCCAGCAAAGCCUCCCAGGCAUGAAUGAAAUCCUCCUCAUCAUUGAGAUCAUAGAUACAACUUCUAAAAUCACUGGAAAAAGAUUCAGUAUCCUUCAAUGCAUGGCUAAGUUGGUUAAGAGCAUUCUGGUACAUCUGCCAAACGCAGAUACAAUGGCUUGUUUCUGGCAAGACAGAUUUAAUUGCUUCAACAAUUGCCGCAACCUGAUCAGUGAGAAUAACUUUU